rnacentral:tRNA from 1 species
GGGACUAUAGUUAAUAAUAACAUUUGAGUUGCAUUCAAAAAGUACCACAAAAUGGUUAGCCUCA